GUUGGGGGUACUCCGUUUACUUCGUGGUUUGUUUUCCAGGCAGCUAUUUAUACACUCUUCAACCAUAAAUUUCACAAGUCCUCGAAAGUUGUCAAUGUCGCCGUUUUGUCUUCGCUCUCGUUCUAUUCCUCGCUCGAAUUUGGCUUCCAAGGAGGCAAGAUCAUCUUUGGUCGGAAUGUUGGAUAACUGCGUGCUCAACUACAAUAAAUAUGUUUAAGAAUUAAACCCCUUUUGCUUAUUGGUGACUUGGUUUCGGUGACAGAAUAUAUUUUCGAAACAACAGCAGGUAAUUUCGUGAUAAAAAGUCGAAAUAAAAAAUAUUAAAAUAUUAACUCA